rnacentral:siRNA from 1 species
AUUUAUAGGUUAGGAGAUGACCUA